AAUCAAGGGGUAAAAUGUGGCAAACACUGUAAUGAAUUUACAAACAUGAGAUAAACAUUGCCACAAGUUUAGAAACAUGAGAUAUAUGUGACAAACAUCGUCUCAAAUCUACAAAAUGAGGUAAACAUCUCACAAGUUUACAAACAUGGGUUAAAUGUGGCAAACACUUUCGCAAAUUUACAAACAUGAGGUAAACGUUGUCACAAGUUCACAAACAUGGGUAAAAUUGUGGCACACACUUUCGCAAUUUUACAAAGAUGAGGGAAACAUUUUCACAAGUUUAACAUCACGGGGUAAAAUGUGGCAAACAUUGUCCUAAAUUUAUACAUAUGAGAUUAACAUUGUCACAAGUUUACAAUCACGGAGUAAAAUAUGGCAAACACUGCCAUGAAUUUACAAACACGAGGUAAACAUUGUCACAAGUUUACAAACAUGGAUAAAUGUGACAAACACUGUCAAGGGUUUACAAACAUGAGGUAGAAAAUGGAAUUCAUAAAAAGAAAAAGAAAAACGAGAACAAGAUGGACCAGCAUCACCAAAUUAAGGUGUAAUAGUAUUACCUAAAGGCUGAAGCAAGGCAUAACUUGCUGCAGCUAGCUAUCCUUAUAUUCCUACAUGGUUCCUAGGCAGCAUCAAUAUUCAGCUAAGUAUAUUCUUUACUCUUGCGCCAAAGGAUGCCAUGGAUUCCAUUGGAGAUUUAAACCAUUUAAAAGUUGCUGAGAUACAUAUACAUAUCAUAAACUACUAGUCCAUGUUGCCCAACAGAGCUGAAGUGAUGAGAAUUAUGCAAUACAUAAAGCUGGAGGCUGGAUUGGUUCGGUGUUAUGAUAUUUAAGAGAUGCUCCCAAUAGGUAAAUUUUGUAAAUGUCCUAAAUGCAUUCAGAGUUCUUCAGCGGGACGAGAAGUCAUCUGUCGCGGCAGCAGAGAAAUCAAUAAAUCUAACUCGUAGCUUAGGAUGCAACAAGGAGUGGCUUAACAUGUACCUGAGAGGUGUCAUCUUUGUAGAAUGUAUAAAUUAGACAAUAAGUUUGGAUGUGCUAUUUA